UACGUAGGGGGCAAGCGUUGUCCGGAUUUAUUGGGCGUAAAGAGCGUGUAGGCGGCUUUACAGGUCCGUUGUGAAAACUCGAGGCUCAACCUCGAGACGCCGGUGGAAACCGUAAAGCUAGAGUCCGGAAGAGGAGAGUGGAAUUCCUGGUGUAGCGGUGAAAUGCGCAGAUAUCAGGAAGAACACCCGUGGCGAAGGCGGCAUCCUGGACCAACAUUGACGCUGAGGAGCGAAAGCUAGGGGAGCAAACGGG
rnacentral:rRNA from 1 species